rnacentral:rRNA from 1 species
AAUGAACGUUGGCGGCGUGGAUUAGGCAUGCGAGUCGUGCGAGAAUCGUAGCAAUACGAGGAAAGCGGCGAAAGGGAGAGGAAUACGUAGAAAUCUGCCCUCGGGACGGGGAUAGUGGCGGGAAACUGCCGGUAAUACCCGAUAACAUCUUCGGAUCAAAGGUGUGAUUCCGCCUGAGGAUGAGUCUACGUCCUAUUAGCUAGUUGGCGGGGUAAUGGCCCACCAAGGCGACGAUGGGUAGCAGGUGUGAGAGCACGACCUGCCUCAUUGGGACUGAGACACUGCCCAGACACCUACGGGUGGCUGCAGUCGAGAAUCUUCGGCAAUGGACGAAAGUCUGACCGAGCGACGCCGCGUGCGGGAUGAAGGCCUUCGGGUUGUAAACCGCUGUCGUAGGGAACCAAAUUCAUGGGGGUUCUCCCCUGUGAUUGAGAGAACCUAGGAGGAAGGAGAGGCUAAGCUCGUGCCAGCAGCCGCAGUAACAC